rnacentral:sRNA from 1 species
CUUCUAAGAGUGGACCUCAGUUAUAAUCCAAUUUUCUUGAAGGUUAUUUCUUAUGUAUUCUAAUGUAUCGACUUUGUAUUACCACGUCUUUACGUGUUAGUUUUUUAGGAGGAUUUAUACAUGCAAAACGGUGUAGUAAAAUGGUUUAACGCAGAAAAAGGAUAUGGAUUUAUCCAACUUGAAGAAGGCGAUGAUGUUUUUGUACAUUAUUCUGCAAUUCAAGAAGAAGGCUUUAAAACAUUAGAAGAAGGCCAAGAAGUAACUUUCGAGAUUGUUGAAGGCGAUCGCGGUCCACAAGCAGCUAACGUUACUAAAAAUUAAUUGUACAAUUAAUCAUAGCAUUU